rnacentral:lncRNA from 10 species
GAAAGCAUUUCACAUCAUUGUCCACUGUCUCCUUCUAGAAACACUCUAGUCCUUCGGUUUUCAGGGCUCCAUAUGCCAGUGCUUUUCUUCCCACCUGUCUGGCCUCCCUCCUGGGCCAUUAGGUCCACACUCAAGACCACUUGUUGUCUUUCUGGGACCUCAAGCAAUUCUGAUCUCUCCUGUUGCAGCCUAGGCCUCCCUCCUCAACUACACUCAAAUGCGCUAUACACCACACAUGCAACACGUCAACUCAAACCUGUGGUCUUUUGCUCCCCUAAACCUGCUCUUCCUCAACUGUGACCCUUUCCAGGGAAUGGCCCUACCAUCUACUCUACUGUCUGAGCCCCUAAACCUGAAAGUCCUCUGGGAUUAUUCACUACCCCUUCCCAACGCAAUCAGUCACCAUGCAUGGUUCUG